CGAACCCGGCGAACUGAAACAUCUAAGUAGCCGGAGGAAAAGAAAUCAACCGAGAUUCCGCAAGUAGUGGCGAGCGAACGCGGAAGAGCCUGUACGUGAUAGCAGUCGUGUUAGAAGAACGGUCUGGAAAGGCCGGCCAUAGUGGGUAAUAGCCCCGUAUUCGAAAACACAAUUGUGGUACUGAGCGUACGAGAAGUAGGGCGGGACACGUGAAAUCCUGUCUGAAGAUGGGGGGACCAUCCUCCAAGGCUAAAUACUCAUGAUCGACCGAUAGUGAACCAGUACCGUGAGGGAAA
rnacentral:rRNA from 1 species